rnacentral:lncRNA from 1 species
GUGAGAAUAUGGUUCACCUAACACCAUCCAAUGUUGUGACUUGAUGGUAUUGAUGUUGACACAAUAAGGUCUUCCCACGUUUUUGGCAGAGGCAUGGUCUUUCCUUCUUAUGUAGACUUACCCUCUACCAUUUUAAGAAGAGCAGCUCUCGGUUUUUUUUCUCCCAGCAGAAAGUGAGCUCUCGUUUUUUAGCAAAGGGUGGUGGUUCUUCAUUGGUUUUCCCCUCUCUCUUGGAAGGUAAUUAGCAAGUCAUGGAAGGCUGUUCCUGAGCCUGAAAAACAGCCAUUAGAAGGGCAGAAAGCUGCUGCAAGGAAGGAGAAAAUCUGUCCAAAUUUUCGUCCGAACACAGGUUGUAUUUUUCCAUCCCCUUUUUUCAUUGUUUUGCCUUGAAUCUUGUCUAUUGGUUGAUGUUUUGGUUGAUU